rnacentral:rRNA from 1 species
UACGGAAGGCAGCAGGGAAUCUUCCGCAAUGGGCGAAAGCCUGACGGAGCAACGCCGCGUGAGUGAAGAAGGUCUUCGGAUCGUAAAACUCUGUUAUUAGGGAAGAACAAAUGUGUAAGUAACUAUGCACGUCUUGACGGUACCUAAUCAGAAAGCCACGGCUAACUACGUGCCAGCAGCCGCGGUAAUACGUAGGUGGCAAGCGUUAUCCGGAAUUAUUGGGCGUAAAGCGCGCGUAGGCGGUUUUUUAAGUCUGAUGUGAAAGCCCACGGCUCAACCGUGGAGGGUCAUUGGAAACUGGAAAACUUGAGUGCAGAAGAGGAAAGUGGAAUUCCAUGUGUAGCGGUGAAAUGCGCAGAGAUAUGGAGGAACACCAGUGGCGAAGGCGACUUUUCUGGUCUGUAACUGACGCUGAUGUGCGAAAGCGUGGGGAUCAAAC